rnacentral:lncRNA from 1 species
GUCAGUACUGGUCAUUACUGGUCACUUUGGGUCAUUUUUGGAUCAAUUUUGGGGUCAAUUUUGGGUCAUUUUUGGGUAAUUUUUGGUCAAUUUUUGGGUCUAUUUUGGGUCAUUUUUGGGUCAUCUUUGGGGUCAUUUUGGAUCCAUUUUGGGUCAAUUUUGUCUCAUUUUUGGAUCAUUUUUGGAUCAAUUUUGGGUCAUUUUUGGGUCUUUUUUUAUCAGUUUGGGGUCAUUUUGGGUCAUUUUUGGGACAUUUUUGGGUCAAUUUUGGGUCAUUUUGGGGUCAUUUUUGGGGUCAAUUUUGGGUCAUUUUGGGGUCAUUUUUGGGUCAUAUUUGGAUCAUUUUUGAUCAAUUUUUGGUCAUUUUUGGGUCAGUUCGGGGUCAGAUUUUGGGUCGAUUUUGGGUCAUUUUGGGGUCAAUUUUGGAUCAAUUUUGGGUCAUUUUUGGGUCUUUUUUUAUCAGUUUGGGGUCAUUUUGGGUCAUUUUUGGGACAUUUUUGGGUCAAUUUUGGGUCAACUUUGGAUCAAUUUUGGGUCAAUUUUGGAUCAGUUUUGGAUCAAUAUUUGGUCAUUUUGGGGUCGUUUUUGGGUCAGUUUUUGAUCAACUUUUGCCCGAUUUGGGAUGAAUUUUGAGUCAGUUCGGGGUCAGAUUUUGGGUCGAUUUUUGGUCAUUUUGGGUUAUUUUGGGGUCAAUUUUGGAUCAAUUUUGGGUCAUUUUGGGUUAUUUUGGGGUCAAUUUUGGGUCAAUUUUUGAUAAUUUUUGGGUCAAUUUUGGGUCUUUUUGGGGCCCUUUUUGGGUCAAUUUUGGAUCCUUUUUGUUUCAAUUUUGGGUCAUUUUCAGGUUAAUUUUGGGUCAUUUUUGGGUCAGUUUUGGGUCAAUUUUGGAUCAAUUUUGGUUCAAUUUUGGGUCAUUUUUUUAUCAGUUUGGGGUCAUUUUGGGUCAUUUUUGGGACAUUUUUGGGUCAAUUUUGGGGUCAACUUUGGGUCAUAUUUGGAUCAUUUUUUGAUCAAUUUUUGGUCAUUUUUGGGUCAGUUCGGG